rnacentral:rRNA from 1 species
UACAGAGGGAGCGAGCGUUUGUCCGGAAUUAUUGGGCGUAAAGAGCUUGUAGGCGGUUUGUCGCGUCUGCUGUGAAAUUUCGGGGCUCAACCCCGAACUUGCAGUGGGUACGGGCAGACUAGAGUGUGGUAGGGGAGACUGGAAUUCCUGGUGUAGCGGUGAAAUGCGCAGAUAUCAGGAGGAACACCGAUGGCGAAGGCAGGUCUCUGGGCCAUAACUGACGCUGAGAAGCGAAAGCGUGGGGAGCGAACAGGAUUAGAUACC